UACGGGGGGAGCAAGCGUUGUUCGGAUUUACUGGGCGUAAAGGGCGCGUAGGCGGCGUGACAAGUCACUUGUGAAAUCUCCGGGCUUAACUUGGAACGGUCAGCUGAUACUGAUGUGCUAGAGUGCAGAAGGGGCAAUCGGAAUUCUUGGUGUAGCGGUGAAAUGCGUAGAUAUCAAGAGGAACACCUGAGGUGAAGACGGGUUGCUGGGCUGACACUGACGCUGAGGCGCGAAAGCUAGGGUAGCAAACGGG
rnacentral:rRNA from 1 species